UACGUAGGGCGCAAGCGUUUGUCCGGAAUUAUUGGGCGUAAAGAGCUCGUAGGCGGUUUGUCGCGUCUGCCGUGAAAGUCCGGGGCUCAACUCCGGAUCUGCGGUGGGUACGGGCAGACUAGAGUGAUGUAGGGGAGACUGGAAUUCCUGGUGUAGCGGUGAAAUGCGCAGAUAUCAGGAGGAACACCGAGUGGCGAAGGCAGGUCUCUGGGCAUUAACUGACGCUGAGGAGCGAAAGCAUGGGGAGCGAACAGG
rnacentral:rRNA from 1 species